rnacentral:rRNA from 1 species
UACGUAGGGGGCAAGCGUUGUCCGGAUUUAUUGGGCGUAAAGAGCGUGUAGGCGGCCAGAUAGGUCUGUUGUGAAAACUCGAGGCUCAACCUCGAGACGCCGAUGGAAACCAUUUGGCUAGAGUCCGGAAGAGGAGAGUGGAAUUCCUGGUGUAGCGGUGAAAUGCGCAGAUAUCAGGAAGAACACCCGUGGCUAAGGCGGCUCUCUAGUACGGUACUGACGCUGAGGUGCGAAAGCGUGGGGAGCAAACAGG